rnacentral:lncRNA from 1 species
GUUUCACUUUAUCAACAACUAUGAGAAUUUAACUGGGGAUUUUUGAGAAUUCAACAGAAUAUUUACUUUCUGGGUUCUGUUUGUCUUUUUACUAAUUUCUAUCAGCAAAGCAGCAAAAGCGAAGAUUAGGUUAGUUAGAAGAGAAACAGAUCUAAAGGCAGCACACUCUCAUUGAGAAUAAUAGUAUUCUUCCAAUGAACCUACAAAAGCAAGCGCCACCUUUUUUGCUUUUCCCUGAAGUUAGCUUCAAAAUAGAAGAAAAGGGCACCAGAGAAGCCUUUAUUCUGGUUUUAAAAUCUCUUUGUAUCUCAAGAGAGAUGGGUAGGAACUAUGGAUAGAGUACAUGGGGAUAAAAGGAGAAGGAGAAAAUAGGAUAGAAGGGAGCAUGUCUGAUCCUUUGCAGGACUUCAGCUGUGGCCUGUUAGUCAACAGGGACUUAGGUAAGAAGGAUAGAAAAGGUAGUAUUGGAGCAGUAGUGUCUGUGGGCUCUGGGUUUCAUGCCCAAGUCUGUGUUUAAUUAGUUUUAUGGUCCUGGGACAGUUAAACUUCUCUCUUAACACUCAAAAUUCUCAUUUAUAAAAUGGGGAUAAUACCAUGACCCAAUAUAUGAGAAGAGUAAAUUUGGUAAUCUGUGUACAACAUGCAGCAAGGGUAAUGAUCAUAGAACAUCUAUUUUUAGUGUUAAGCACUUCAAAAUCAAUGUACGUAAUUUAGAAUUCUAUAACAUUAGACAGUUUUCCAACUAAAUUGCCUCCUUUGAAGGCAGGAAUAGUGUUUAAUGCUUCUUGUGUUCUUAGAGCUGAGUGGAAAAGCUUAACACUUAGGAGUGAUGUCAGGUCAACUUCACAGAAUGUAUGAGUGAUGCAGCCCAAAGGAGAAGAAGGGAGGUGGUCCCUUUGCAGUAUGAGCUGGAGUAGCCUCCUAAGUAACCAGUGACUCCUCUACCAUAAGAAGCAUUUGAUUUAGGGUCCCAGAAGAACUUUUCUUGGCUAUAUGGAUAUUUGUGUUUUUAUGCACAUAUAAAACUUGUUUUGAAUUCAUGCCACUUGGUGGUAAAAAUUGCCUCCACUUGUUUUUAGAGUCCUUCAUCAGUAAUUGAGGCUCUGACAGUGUCUCUGAAACACUGCCAAAUCUGCAAGACUUUUGAACCAGUAGCCACCAGUGCAUUUGGUGUUUGAUAUGUUUGGUUUAGAUUCUAAUUCUUUGAAAGUUUCUGUUCAGUUUUGAUAGGGUAACUUGUAAAAUGGAAUGGGCAGUUAAUUAGAACAGGCAAUUUAUCAACAUUUCUGGACCAAUGGGGCUCUAUUAUAUGAUUACUAUUAUUACUUUUAGUGGAGGGGGGUUCUAUUUGGUUUUAUUAUGAUCGUGAUUAUUUUCUUUAGUAGAUUUGGGAGGGUUUAACUAACAUUUAUUUACUUUUUAAACCUGGCAAUAAAAACACAAGUAAAUUUUUUUUUUUUUUUUUCUUGAAGGCGGUAUUAGGUUGUCCAGAGGAGUGAGCAUGAGAGUGAGGUGGUGUGAGGCAGGCCUAGGGCCUGCUAAAAGAGCUCCCUUCUGGCCCAAGUCCAGCAGGGGAAAUGAAGGAGAGGGAUUUCUGAGCAUAAAGCUGAGGUCUGUAGUCAGAGAUAGAGGAAAAGAUCAAAUAUGUGAUGAACUAAGUGGAGCAGAAAGAGCUGAAUGGAAGCAUAGAGGGUGUUGCAAUAUCAGGUUACAGUGCUUAUACUUCUUAUCAGUGAUAUUUGAUAGGUAGUUAGAAUUUACAUUGGUGACUGCUUGCUGAUAGACUGUGGGGGACCUGGGCCUAUAUAAGCCAAAGACUAUGUUUUCUUACUUAAUCCUAACAACACUCCUGUGAGGUGAUAUCAUUGUUCAUGUUUCAUAGAUGAGUAAUCAAGGUACAGAGAGGUUAAGUGUCUUGAUUGAAGAUAAAUUACAGGUAAUGGCAAAGUCAGGGUCCUAACCCAGGUUUGUUUGCUUCAGAACUGAUGCUCUUUUUGGUGUUCUUGUGAAAAGUUCUCCUCAUGCAGGUGUCUUUCUGCCUUUCAUGUCUCUAAAUGUUUAGGCUGCUAUGACAAAAUAUUACAGGUCAGGUGGCUUAAAAACAAAGUAUUGUUUCAUAGUUCUGGAGGCUACAAGAUCAAAAUCAAGGUCUGCAAGUUUGAUUCCUUCUGGAGGCUCUGAGGGAAGGAUGUGUUCCAGAUGCUUCUUCUUGGCUUAUGAAUGAUCUCCCUCUCUCUUUCCACAUGGUCUUCCCUUUGUGUGUAUCUGUGUCUAAAUUUCUCCUUUUUAUAAAUCACAUUGGAUUAGGGCCCAUCAAAAUGAUCUUUUUAAACUUGAUAACUUCUGUAAAGAUCCUAUCUCCAAAAAAGGUCGAAUUUGAGGUAUUGGAGUUAGGACUUUAACUUAUGAAUUGGCAAGGUAGGAGGUACAACUCAACUCCAGACACCAAACAAAAGUCUCCUACAAGUCACUCUAACAGCUGUGCUUUAGACACCUUGUUUACUUCGACAAACAUUUUCCUAUAGCACCUUAUUGUGUCUGUCCAUUUUAUUUAAUCUGUUAACAAACAGCUGUGAAUAUAGUCACCUUCAAAGUGGGCCUGCUCACUGGAGUGAGCUUCAGGUCAAUAGAGCGUUCAGUGGACUCUAAUUUAAUUAGCCAAGUUACUGGAACAGCUGCCUCGUAACUGAUUCAUGGACUGGCAGAGAGCAGAGCACGUCUUGAUUCCAGACAUUCCUGAAGUAGCCCGAGGUCUGGGAACUUUGUUCCUGUUCUGGCAGGAAAAGAGGGAAACUGAAGAGGUAUUUAGGAUUUUCUAUUCUGGAUGCCUGUUAUAAAAUCAAAGAACUCAGAGUAAAAGGCAAGGCUCUGCACUUCACACCCCUUUCCUCAUCUUGCACUUAUGAGCUCAGCUCUGCCCAAAUUUAAAAUGCUCCUGAGAAUCCCCUUCACCACAAAAUCUCCACGGCCCAUGCACUGGAUUUGCCAGCUUCUUGCACCCAACACAUCCAGAUGGGUGUGGUUUUUCAAACCUCUCCCUGUGUCCUGCUAAAUCCUAGUCCUACAUUUUCUUGUUCCUGGGAACAUUGCCCUUAUAAGUCUCCCAUCCUUCUUUCAGGCCUGUGGGGGUGAGUCCUAGAGAGGGUGUGAGAACUCUAGAUGUGCAGUCAGAACACUGCACAUUUGUCAUUUACAGACUAGUAUCAACUUAGGCAAAUCAGCCCCUCUGCUCUUAGUAUGGAUGCUAAUCAAAUGGUUAUAGAAACCUCUAGUUAGCUUACCUUUUAGGAUGGCCGUGAACACCAAACUAACUUCAAAGGAGCCAUCUCUGCACAAGCUAGUAUAAAUAUGAAGAAAAUUAUGAUUUUGUUUAUGUUGUAUUUACCAUAUGACAUAUUAUUGGGGUAUUUUGUUGUUUCUGUGUUUUGCUUGUGUGUAUCCUGAGUUAAGACUGUGAAUUCCAAGAGAGUGGAGUACUUUGUACAGUGCCCCCCCCUGCACUAUGUGCAGUCAGCAUCCAUAAGACCUGGGAUGCUAGAUGAAAGCCAGUCUUGGAGGAGAGAGAAAAGACCAGAGAAGGGAAAAAGUGGGUAUCAAAGAAGUUGUACAUGGAGAAAGGGAAUUUUUUUCUCUGAGUCACAAAGGGUUUUUACUCAAGUUAGUCAUUAAGCAUUGAUUUAAAAUGUUAGACAGCUUUUACUGACCUAGAGCAGAAGUUUAGGAAUUUAUUUUAAUCAACCCCAUGUGAUUAAUACUUUUUGCUGCUCCUUUGGUCUUAAUGUUUUGUGUGUCCAGUAUCGACACCACUGACUCACUGUGAAGGGAAUUGUUCUUGGUCCGUAUUCAACUGAGUAUUUACUUCAUAAGUUUAAGUUUUAAAAAUUAAUUUUAAUUAGGUAUAUAUGACAGCAGAAUGCAUUUUUUUCAUUGUGCAUAAUUACAGCACAACUUUUCAUUUCUUUGGUUGUACAUGAUGUAGCUUUGCCCCAUAUGUGCAAUUAUACAUGUACCUAGGGUAAUGAUGUCCAUCUCAUUCUACCAUCUUUCCUGCUCCCAUAUCCCUUCCCCAACCCUCCCUCCCUUUUACCGAAAGUUUCCUCCAUUUUUUCCAUACUCCACCCUCCAUUGUGAAUCAGAGAGAACAUUUGGCCUUUGAUUUUUUUGGACUUGGCUUACUUCUCUUAAUAAGUUUAAGAUUUUAGGCAAAAAAUUGACUGCUUCCCAAAGUAAAUUGCUUUUAAACAAAGUGAAAAACUGCUUUAAAUAAUAAGAAAUUGGCAGGGGUGGGGAGACCAUUUAUAGUAUGUAAAUUAUAAACUUUACAUUUUAUCUCUGAGCCUGAGAAAUAGUCCAGAAACAAUGGAUGAUUCUUUAUAGGUUUAGAAAUUAUUUCCUAGAAUACAGCUUGGGUUCUUUGUUGUCUGAAUAUUUGCACAAGGGAAGUGUUGUGCUCCCUUCUGGGAAUGCUUGCUUCUGCAUGGAGAAGAGAGUGCCACUUGUUUGUCCUUCUCUCUCUUGCUGCCAUGCUGUGGUUACAGGGAGAUUGUGGCACAGGGAUAGAAAGAGACUAUUUUUUUGUUUUGAGGAUUAUGGUGUACAAGUUGCUGGUCAAGUUCUCAAGUAUAUCUAUACAAACUAAAGCCAUUAAUUCUGAAUUUGGGGCAUUUGGAGCAAAGUUUUGAGGUAGGUUGGCAGUUGAGUUGUAUCUUGAAGCCUCAAUAGUUUUCCAAUUAAAGAAACAUGAGGGAAGAACAUUCUAGGCUGAGAGCAUGGCCCAAAGAUGUGGGAGUAGGUGGUCUACUUGAAGAUACACUAGGGCUUUAAUUGUAGUUGCAAAGUAGGACACAGAGAAGAAAGUAUGUAAUGAAACAUGAACCCAAAAGGGUUAGUUUUGGGAUUGGAUCCAAUCCCAAACUUUGGCACAUUGGAUAAUUAGCUUGAAGAAUUUGAGUUUGAUCCUCAAUAGCAAUAGGGAGUCAGUGAAGGUUUAUAUAAAAAAAAGAGUGUCUUGGUUUGACUUGUGUUUAAGGAGGAAAACUGGUAGCCACAUGAAGGACAGUAGCAUGGGAGAUAGAAGGGAAGUCUAAGGUUGUGUAGAAGGUCAGGGAUGACAAGAUUCUGAUCUAAGGGCUGGGGAUGUAACUCAGUUGUAGAGCACUUGCCUAGCAUGAGUUCAAUCCCCAGCAUCACCAGAAAAAAAUAAAAAUAAAAAAAGGGGUUGGGGGAGGGAAUAAAACUGAUUGGCAUCUACAUGUGUUGAUUGAUUCAACAGACCUUUACUGAGCACUAACACAUGCCAUACAUUGUGCAGUUGAGGUUAUAAAGAUGAAAACCUAUUCUGGUCUCUACUCUUAAGGCUCUGCCCCCAGCUGAAGAAUAGACACAGAUCAGCCCUCACCAUGUACCAUGAUGUGGUACUUGCUCUACCGAAGGUGAUCUGCAGUGCAGGGGCUGCCUGGGUCAUUGAGGAACUUUUAACCUAGGUCUAAAAAAUGGUGGCAAGCUGAUCAAGUCUUUGGGUCACUUAUUAAAAAUGGUUGCUUUGGGGAUGAAGACCAAUCUUUACUGUGGCUCUAAAGGCUCUGCCUGACCUGGCCCCACAUUCCUCCAGCCUCUACUCAGGUCAUCUCUUUUUUGCAUUCCUGCUCCAAGUUCUUUUAGUCCCUUGAAAGCACUACACUCUCUUUUGCCACUCUGUUGCUUUUGUCUGGCAUGCACUCUAUCCUCCCAGAUCCUAGCUGAAUGCCUUUCUUGGGGAAAUCUUUCCUGAGUCCUGAGACUCAGUCACAUCUGUGGUACAUGAUGUCAGUAUACUGCCUCUCUUUCAUGGUACUUCAUCAGAGUUACAAAUUUGCAUUUUACAUGGUCCUUUGAUUUAUGUAUGUCUCCUUCUAGAUAGUCAACUCUUUGGAGGAGGAAUUUUAUCUGACUUUGUUCACCACUUUGUCCUCAGUGUUUGCACAGCAUCUGGCCCAUCAUAUAUCCUUAAUAAAUAUUUAUUGAUUUGAAGUGACUGGAUUAAAAUCAUUAAAGAGGGAAAGGCAUUUCAAGAAUAGGGAACAGUGUGAGCAAAGGUACUAUGGUUUAUUCUGGGACUGUUCUAGGUAUAAAAGUGGCUGAAUAAGGAAGGGGGCUAAAGGGGAGGGAAAAAAUGAAUCUAGAGAAAUAUGUUGGAUAAACUUGGAAAGAACUUCUGUGCCAUGCUAACACCACCAUGUUCUUCACCUAUCAUCAGAAAAUGUAGUUGAAUUUUUGGCUACACCAAGCUGUCUGUGACUCUUUGAGGGCAGAGGUUCUGCCUGUCUUGUUUAUUUACAUUAGUGAAUCUAGAACAGUAUCU